rnacentral:rRNA from 1 species
CCCUUAGAUGUCCUGGGCCGCACGCGUGCUACACUGACGCAUACAGCGAGCACUUUCCAGUUCCGAGAGGCUUCUGGUAAUCAUCAAUAUGCGUCGUGAUGGGGAUAGAUCUUUGGAAUUCUGGAUCUUGAACGAGGAAUGCCUAGUAAUCGCAGGUCAUUAGCCUGCGAUGAUUAAGUCCCUGCCCUUUGUACGCACCGCCCGUCGCUACUACCGAUUUCGAGUGGUCAGGUGAAUCUUUCGGACUGUGGGCGCCCUUGAGGUGUUCGCGGAAAGUCAGGUAAAUCUUAUCACUUAGAGGAAGUAAAAGUCGUAACA